AGAGUUUGAUCCUGGCUCAGGAUGAACGCUGGCGGCGUGCCUAACACAUGCAAGUCGAGCGAAGCAUACAGGAGGAAGUUUUCGGAUGGAAUCCUGCAUGACUGAGCGGCGGACGGGUGAGUAACGCGUGGGUAACCUGCCUUAUACAGGGGGAUAACAGUUAGAAAUGACUGCUAAUACCGCAUAAGCGCACAGUACCGCAUGGUAGUGUGUGAAAAACUCCGGUGGUAUAAGAUGGACCCGCGUCUGAUUAGCCAGUUGGCGGGGUAACGGCCCACCAAAGCGACGAUCAGUAGCCGACCUGAGAGGGUGACCGGCCACAUUGGGACUGAGACACGGCCCAAACUCCUACGGGAGGCAGCAGUGGGGAAUAUUGCACAAUGGGGGAAACCCUGAUGCAGCAACGCCGCGUGAGUGAAGAAGUAUUUCGGUAUGUAAAGCUCUAUCAGCAGGGAAGAAGAUGACGGUACCUGACCAAGAAGCCCCGGCUAACUACGUGCCAGCAGCCGCGGUAAUACGUAGGGGGCAAGCGUUAUCCGGAUUUACUGGGUGUAAAGGGAGCGCAAACGGCAGUGCAAGUCUGGAGUGAAAGCCCGGGGCCCAACCCCGGAACUGCUCUGGAAACUGUGCGGCUA
rnacentral:rRNA from 1 species